GACGAACGCUGGCGGCGUGCCUAAUACAUGCAAGUCGAGCGAGUCUGCCUUGAAGAUCGGAGUGCUUGCACUCUGUAAAACAAGAUACAGGCUAGCGGCGGACGGGUGAGUAACACGUGGGUAACCUGCCCAAGAGAUCGGGAUACCACCUGGAGACAGAUGCUCAUACCGGAUAACAGCAGAUGAUGCCUAUCAACUGUUUAAAAGAUGGUUCUGCUAUCACUCUUGGAUGGACCUGCGGUGCAUUAGCUAGUUGGUAGGCUAACGGCCUACCAAGUCGAUGAUGCAUAGCCGAGUGCAGAGACGGAUAGGCCACAUUGGAACUGAGACACGGCCCAAACUCCUACGGGAGGCAGCAGUAGGGAAUCUGCCACAAUGGACGCAAGUCUGAUGGAGCAACGGCGCGUGAGUGAAGAAGGGUUUCGGCUCGUAAAGCUCUGUUGUUGGUGAAGAAGGACAGGGGUAGUAACUGACCUGUGUUUGACGGUAAUCAAUUAGAAAGUCACGGCUAACUACGUG
rnacentral:rRNA from 1 species